rnacentral:rRNA from 1 species
UACGAAGGGGGCUAGCGUUGCUCGGAAUCACUGGGCGUAAAGCGCACGUAGGCGGAUCGCUAAGUCAGGGGUGAAAUCCUGGAGCUCAACUCCAGAACUGCCUUCGAUACUGGCAAUCUCGAGUCCGGGAGAGGUGAGUGGAACUGCGAGUGUAGAGGUGAAAUUCGUAGAUAUUCGCAAGAACACCAGUGGCGAAGGCGGCUCACUGGCCCGGUACUGACGCUGAGGUGCGAAAGCGUGGGGAGCAAACAGG